UGUUUCGGCUAGGGGGCCAUCCCGGCUUACCAACCCGAUGCAAACUGCGAAUACCGGAGAAUGUUAUCACGGGAGACACACGGCGGGUGCUAACGUCCGUCGUGAAGAGGGAAACAACCCAGACCGCCAGCUAAGGUCCCAAAGUCAUGGUUAAGUGGGAAACGAUGUGGGAAGGCCCAGACAGCCAGGAUGUUGGCUUAGAAGCAGCCAUCAUUUAAAGAAAGCGUAAUAGCUCACUGGUCGAGUCGGCCUGCGCGGAAGAUGUAACGGGGCUAAACCAUGCACCGAAGCUGCGGCAGCGACGCUGAUGCGUUGUUGGGUAGGGGAGCGUUCUGUAAGCCUGUGAAGGUGGCCUGUGAGGGUUGCUGGAGGUAUCAGAAGUGCGAAUGCUGACAUAAGUAACGAUAAAGCGGGUGAAAAGCCCGCUCGCCGGAAGACCAAGGGUUCCUGUCCAACGUUAAUCGGGGCAGGGUGAGUCGACCCCUAAGGCGAGGCCGAAAGGCGUAGUCGAUGGGAAACGGGUUAAUAUUCCCGUACUUGGUGUUACUGCGAAGGGGGGACGGAGAAGGCUAUGUUGGCCGGGCGACGGUUGUCCCGGUUUAAGCGUGUAGGUGUGUGUUCCAGGUAAAUCCGGUUCACUUUAACACUGAGGCGUGAUGACGAGGCACUACGGUGCUGAAGCAACAAAUGCCCUGCUUCCAGGAAAAGCCUCUAAGCAUCAGGUAACAUCAAAUCGUACCCCAAACCGACACAGGUGGUCAGGUAGAGAAUACCAAGGCGCUUGAGAGAACUCGGGUGAAGGAACUAGGCAAAAUGGUGCCGUAACUUCGGGAGAAGGCACGCUGACACGUAGGUGAAGUGAUUUACUCAUGGAGCUGAAGUCAGUCGAAGAUACCAGCUGGCUGCAACUGUUUAUUAAAAACACAGCACUGUGCAAACACGAAAGUGGACGUAUACGGUGUGACGCCUGCCCGGUGCCGGAAGGUUAAUUGAUGGGGUCAGCGCAAGCGAAGCUCCUGAUCGAAGCCCCGGUAAACGGCGGCCGUAACUAUAACGGUCCUAAGGUAGCGAAAUUCCUUGUCGGGUAAGUUCCGACCUGCACGAAUGGCGUAAUGAUGGCCAGGCUGUCUCCACCCGAGACUCAGUGAAAUUGAACUCGCUGUGAAGAUGCAGUGUACCCGCGGCAAGACGGAAAGACCCCGUGAACCUUUACUAUAGCUUGACACUGAACAUUGAGCCUUGAUGUGUAGGAUAGGUGGGAGGCUUUGAAGUGUGGACGCCAGUCUGCAUGGAGCCGGCCUUGAAAUACCACCCUUUAAUGUUUGAUGUUCUAACGUGGACCCGUGAUCCGGGUUGCGGACAGUGUCUGGUGGGUAGUUUGACUGGGGCGGUCUCCUCCUAAAGAGUAACGGAGGAGCACGAAGGUUGGCUAAUCCUGGUCGGACAUCAGGAGGUUAGUGCAAUGGCAUAAGCCAGCUUGACUGCGAGCGUGACGGCGCGAGCAGGUGCGAAAGCAGGUCAUAGUGAUCCGGUGGUUCUGAAUGGAAGGGCCAUCGCUCAACGGAUAAAAGGUACUCCGGGGAUAACAGGCUGAUACCGCCCAAGAGUUCAUAUCGACGGCGGUGUUUGGCACCUCGAUGUCGGCUCAUCACAUCCUGGGGCUGAAGUAGGUCCCAAGGGUAUGGCUGUUCGCCAUUUAAAGUGGUACGCGAGCUGGGUUUAGAACGUCGUGAGACAGUUCGGUCCCUAUCUGCCGUGGGCGCUGGAGAACUGAGGGGGGCUGCUCCUAGUACGAGAGGACCGGAGUGGACGCAUCACUGGUGUUCGGGUUGUCAUGCCAAUGGCACUGCCCGGUAGCUAAAUGCGGAAGAGAUAAGUGCUGAAAGCAUCUAAGCACGAAACUUGCCCCGAGAUGAGUUCUCCCUGAGACUUAGAGUCUCCUGAAGGAACGUUGAAGACGACGACGUUGAUAGGCCGGGUGUGUAAGCGCAGCGAUGCGUUGAGCUAACCGGUACUAAUGAACCGUGAGGCUUAACCUUACA
rnacentral:rRNA from 1 species